AGACGGCGCCCAACCUUCCUCUGCAGCGCCCCUACCGACCCGCGCUCCGCAGCUCCUGAGGGCUUUCGAGCCCAGAUGGUCAUCUGAGACGAGAGGUGGCGGCGAAGGAGAGUCUCGCCUGUCACGCUCCCGGAGCAGGGGCUUCAUGAGGUGGCCAUGGAAACAGCCUGGCAGACUCCCAUCUCUCCUGGUGCCAUCUCCGGAGCGGAAAGUGGAGCGCCCCGCUGGCGACCAAGGCCGCACUGAGAGCCCUGGUUUGGUCAACAGUUGGGCUCCAAGGAGCCCUGGUAUUCCUUGAACAUGCAUACCUUUCCCAGCGUGAGGGACAUGGACCGUGCCGUGCGAGGGACCCCAUCUUCUGCAGCAGGAGGGAGCAGAGAAGAGAACACAGGUGGAACAGAGUUGGCAAGACCGGGGGCUGGAGAGACUCACCUGGCGGACGGCGCCUACCACCUCAGCUCGGCUGGAGAGGCGGGCAGCCAGGCGGUGCAGGACAGCGAUGUCCUCCAGCAACUUCUGGCCUUAAUUGAGGCUGUUCUUGCAAAGGAUGUGAUGAGAUAAGUAGAAAUGAACUCAGAGAAGAUGAAUUCAAAAUCCUCGAUGGGAGCAUCCAAGUACUUCCUGGUUUCUGGUUUACAAGGCACUUCAGAGGAUGCUGCACUGUCUGGGUGAGUCAGCUUCCUACUGUGGCUGCUGGUCACAGUCCAGGAACUCAUCUAGGCCUAGGUAAGAUUGCAUCUGGAGCCUGGGGCCAGGUCUGGGGCCCUACAGUAAGGCGGAGAUGGGCUGGUAUGUGUCCUGAGCGGAGGUUAGGAAGGCUCUGAACACUGUCAUGGGAGCAAAGACUGAAGAAACUAGAGAAAAAGAGACUCUGAGAAGACUCAGAACUGCCUUUCUGCAUCUGUAGGAUUUCACCCCACUAUAGGUUGUAUGGAGGGCAGAACCGAGGGAGAGUCUUGGGGGAGGCAGAUUCCAGCCUGACCAGGACAGAGCUGGCCAACCAGUGCACAGGCUUCCUUGGGAGGCGGUGAGCUUUUCAUUAUAGAAAUAUUCCUACAGAUUCCUACCCUGGGCCCGGUGGCUCACGCCUGUAAUCCCAGCACUUUGGGAGGCCGAGGUGGGCAGAUCACUUGAGGCCAGGAGUUUGAGACCAGCCUGGCCAACACGGCGAAACCCCAUAUCUACUAAAAAUACAAAAAUUAGCCAGGCGUGGUGGUGCAGGCCUGUAGUCCCGGCUAUUCGGGAGGCUGAGGCACAAGAAUCAUUUGAACCUGGGAGACAGAGGUUGCAGUGAGCUGAGAUCACACCAAUGCACUCCAGCCUGGGUGACAAAGCAAGACUCUGUCUCAAAAAUACAAAGAUAUAUUCCUACAGAUUCCUAAGACCUACCUCAAGAGAUUCCAAUUCAGUAGGUCUUGGAUGGCUGAGGAAUCUGGUGUUCAAAAAAUUCCCAGGGUGACUGAGUGGGGCUCACGUUAUAGAGAGCUUUGCCUGCCUGGGCGGAGCUUAGAUGUGACCUGGGAUUCUUCUAGCACUGGCAGUCUGUCAUUCUGUGGUCCCCUCAGGUCCCAGGCUUGUGUUCUGACAGCUUCUAUUCCUGCUAGAACCCCUUGGCUACAAACUCUUCCCUUUGAGUCUCUCCCUGUUCAAGGGCCAAUGCAGAAAACCCCACUCAGGACAUAGCCUUACAAAGUGCAUUGUUGGGGGGCUUUUUGUGGUAUUUGAUUGCAGCUUCUGAUUAAGGACCUGAAGAGUACGUCUGUCUGUGCAUGCCUGUGUAUCUGCGUGUGUGUCUGUGUGUGUGUAUGCGUGUGUACGUGCAGAAAGAGAAACAGGAUCUAGUCCUACAGAUUUUGUGUUUGUGUGUGAGAAGGCCUCGGCUAGUGCUCAUGCCAGUGAUGGGAAAUAGGGGCUGGGACCUGAGGAAUCACAACUAGGGCUGGACCCCGGGGAGCUGUAAACUUAGAAGGAUGCUCUGUUCUUUGCCUGCUUCACAGACUGGGAAUUCAGGCAGGAUUGGGACUUCCAGCCGAGUCAUCCUGGCCAACCCCGCUUCCUUGGCUGCCUGGCCUCGGAUGCUCCCAGGGACUCAGGUUCCAGCCCCCUGAAGGCUCCAGGCCAGCUCCUGAGGCCUGACCCUCCCGAGGCCGUGACUACCUGAGAAACCCAAUGUGGGUGGUCUGGUGGGUGCAAUAGUGGGAGAAGCACUUUACUCACCAUGCCUGGUUGCCUUCUGAAAAGCUUUGAAAUGUCCAGGGCGUGGCAGUAAGGGAAGAGGGUAAAAGAAAGUUGAGUUUGAUGUGGCCUUUGGUUGGGGGGGUCUGAACUGCCCCAGCUUCAUGGUCCCUCAGGCUAUAGAAGGCACUUGAGGGCUGGGCUGAACAGGCAGAGUCUAGGAGGCAGCAACUAACCCUUGUACUGGGUAACACAUAAGAAACCAGCAGCACAGCAAAGUUAACAGACUUGGUCUCAAAGUUUCUUGGCCAAGACAAGGUCUCUUGACCAGAAUGUAGAGGAGCUGGGAUUGAAGCCCAGCUUGGUAUGACUGCACAGUUUACAUUCUUAAAUCCUGUGCUAGGUAUCCUCCCUGAUAGGACCUGGGCUUCUCGGCUCCCGGCUCCCCUGAAUUCCUGCUGGCCUUCCUAACCAUCACAGCUUCAAAAUGCAUAUAGGUACAGUGCCAUUAGGUUGGCAUGAUGAAUUUCUAGAGGUUGCCACAAUGGGGGGAGGGUUCCAUGAGCUUGCCUGCCACAAAGUUGAGAGUAAGCGAUCCCUGAUUGGCUAGUGGGAGCUCCAAAUUCCAGUUCCCCACAAGUUCAGUCUCCCUGUGACCCUGAGCCAGAACCAGACUCUU
rnacentral:lncRNA from 1 species